ACUUCCAUUGUCUAUUUAUCCUACUCCUCAACUAUUCUGCCUAAUCAUAUAUGCAGUAUCUUUAGUUAUUAUUUGUUCUUAUAUUGCAACUCUACUUUCCUCUACUUUACUACGUCAAUCUUCAUAUACUAUAAUGAAGUUUCUGUAGUUUAGUUUAGUAUAUCUCACCUCUGAUGAUUUGCCAUCUUCUGUUCUUUUCCUUUUUUUUGGUCUUCGCCUUUUUUCUUUUGAUCUUCAUUGUCAACAUCUUUUAUCUUUAAUAGAAUUUUGAUUUUUGCAACUGAAAAGAAUAAACAUAAAUAUUCAAAAUAAUGUGUGCUUAACUGAAAGAUCUGGAGUAGUUUAAUACAUCUAACCUUUGAUCUUUUUCUUUAUGAUGUACUUUCUUUUUUUCUCGGUCCUCAACUUUUUCCAUUGCAUUGAAUCAUCUUUGCCAUGUGUCACCAAUUGCCCUGUUUUCCAUUUGUCAUCUAAUGGAAUUGUGAUAUUAUGCACCUCUAAAGAUUAAACAUCAAAAUGAGUCUAUCUGGACAUCUUAUUGAACUCUAUUUUUUUUAUCUCACAAUGGUAUAACAGUCUCCACUAUGGCGCCCUAUGUUACCUUGCUGAAGAAUCUUCAUACUGCCAUUACUAACUCUGUUGUCAAGGUCCGUUGUGUCCGUGUCUUUGGAGGUCUUCCUGAUGACAAUAGAGAUAUCAAUACAUAAUCUGUUUUUCAUGAUUCUAAGAUAUCAUUGGGGUCAUUACUUCCCCUGGAAGUGUUGUCAAGCAAAGUAGAUACAUGUUGAUUGAAGUUGAAAUCAGUGAUGAGCGGUAAGUUUCAUACUAAUUUUAAACCUUUAUGUUUCAUACUUAUUUUUAUUAUUCUCUUUUUGAAACUAACUCUGCUACUUUUUUAACAUCCAUAAUAAAAUUUUCUGUACAAUUUGGGAUUCCGAUGUGGAAUCUUAUCUGUCUCAAUUGACCAAGGCUGAAGGGAUUGUUCCUAUAAUCAUAGUGCAGUUUUGUAAGCCUAAUGUUUUCAGAGGUGAGGUUGGUGUGUCCACUCAUUAUCAAGCAUUCAAGAUUUUGAUAAUGCUGAUAUUGAUGUACUGAAGGAAUUUAGGAACAUGAUUAAACAUGAUGAUACUUUCCUUGAACAAGGGAUUGUGGAUCAAACUGGAGUAAGGGUUAGUAGAGAGUUUGAUGACCUUGAUGUCAAGUCUCUUGGUGAUGUUGUUUGUUUGGAGGUUUAGGUUUGUUGUGAACAUUGUUGAUGACUCAAGUAAUGCAUCUCUUUUGUUGUGGGAUAGAGAAGUGGUUCAACUAAUUGGAAAAAAGGGUCACUGACUUGAUAGGGAGUAAUAUGGAGAAUUCUGCUAUGGAGUAUGUUCCUAGGAAAAUUGAGGAGUUGCUAUUGGGUCAAGAAGUGUUGUUUAAGAUACAAAGCAGGAAUAGCAAGGAAUAAUACCGUAGAUAUCCAUAUACAGUUAACAAAAUUUGUAAUAUUCCAAAAGUUGUUGAGAAAUUUGUUCCUGAGAACAUUGCUUCACAAGUUCUGAAUACUGAUGUCAUACUGAUGCCAAGUUGGUUGAUUUACCCUUUGGA